rnacentral:rRNA from 1 species
GACGAACGCUGGCGGCGUGCUUAACACAUGCAAGUCGAACGAAGAGCGAUGGAAGCUUGCUUCUAUCAAUCUUAGUGGCGAACGGGUGAGUAACGCGUAAUCAACCUGCCCUUCAGAGGGGGACAACAGUUGGAAACGACUGCUAAUACCGCAUACGAUCUGACCUCGGCAUCGAGGAUAGAUGAAAGGUGGCCUCUACAUGUAAGCUAUCACUGAAGGAGGGGAUUGCGUCUGAUUAGCUAGUUGGAGGGGUAACGGCCCACCAAGGCGAUGAUCAGUAGCCGGUCUGAGAGGAGGAACGGCCACAUUGGGACUGAGACACGGCCCAGACUCCUACGGGAGGCAGCAGUGGGGAAUCUUCCGCAAUGGACGAAAGUCUGACGGAGCAACGCCGCGUGAGUGAUGACGGCCUUCGGGUUGUAAAGCUCUGUUAAUCGGGACGAAAGGCCUUUUUGCGAAUAGUGAGAAGGAUUGACGGUACCGGAAUAGAAAGCCACGGCUAACUACGUG